GACGAACCGUGCGAACGUUGUUCGGAAUCACUGGGCUUAAAGGGCGCGUAGGCGGGCAGGCAAGUCAGGGGUGAAAGCCCACGGCUCAACCGUGGAAGCGCCUUUGAUACUGCCGGUCUCGAGGGAGGUAGGGGCGUGCGGAACUUCCGGGUGGAGCGGUGAAAUGCGUAGAUAUCGGGAGGAACGACCGGUGGCGAAGGCGGCCUUCUGGACGGAUACUGACGCUGAGACGCGAAAGCGUGGGGAGCAAACAGG
rnacentral:rRNA from 1 species